GGCGGGGAUGGGGGGAUGGGGGGAUGCAGGGAUGGGGGGGUUGGGCUGAGCUGGGGAGGGGGCAGAGAGCGCGCAGCCCCUUCUCCUUCCCCCCCCCCAAAUCCAAUGGGAAGGGGGAGGAGAGCAGCAACAGCCUCAGCCUCCAUAUGCACCCCAGUAGUUUUCCCUCCCCUUUGCAGCCAGUCAGACCGCCUCGGGGCCCCAACCUGGGAGCUGAGUCCUCAGCUGUCGGUGACUUGGGGUUUUUUCCGGCGAACUGCGGGUGCACACGGGUGUGCAUGAGUGCAGGGGUGUAAGUGCACGCAAGGGUGUAUGCGCCCGGGGGGGCCGCCCAGCAGGAUGUGAGCGGGCCGCAGGUGGGAGCCCCCGCCCCCUCCCCGCACCUGCGGGGCCGGCAGGGAGCUUCGGGCUUCGGGGAGGCGACGCCGGCGGCGGCUGCUCCGAGGGUCCGGUCCUGCCGAGGACCUAUAGAUGCGGGACUGGAGGGGGCCCGGGGCGCUGGCGUGAGCCCCCCCCCCCCCCCCCCCCAGGACCGGCCAUCCCGGGCGGUCCCGGGUGAGCGGCCACCGCCGAGGGAGCCGGGGAAACUCCGCCCUCUCCGCCCACCGCCUGCGCCCAACUUCUCCGGCUCCGCCAACUCCAGCCGCCCGCGGGACCCCGCACCGGGACCCCCGCACCGGGGAGCGUCCGGCCCCAGCCCACCCCCGGAGGGCACCGGCCGCCUUGUGGCCCGGCUGAGCUCCGCUUCUCCUCGUCCGCCCCGGCGAUUUCUCCCCGAGCAGCUGCCAAGGAAAGGAAAAGAUGAAGUCUCUGUUUUUCCUGUUUCUUGCCAUCUCUUCUGUAGUCAGCACAAAUUUGAAGUUGGUGUCAAAAAGAAAUUCGGGUAAGUGGCUGAAGAUUCUUUCUUAAUGUUUGGUCUGGCUGGUGUAGUUGUCUUACCAUUUUGAGGGAUGUGCUUCUGGUUACUCAAUCUGUUCCCUUUGGAAUGUCUCAUUAAUCACUGAGAUCACUUACAUUUUAGAAAGUCUGCCAAGAGGCCAAAAGAUAAAGUUUCAUGUAGCUCAUUGAGGGCUUAGGAAG
rnacentral:lncRNA from 1 species